GUCAGAUGGCCUCCUCCUGAUCCUAGUUCUUAUGUUCUUAUGAUUGGGAUUGUUAUCAGUCCCUCUCUCCCACAAACCCAUUUCCAGGUUCCCAAAUAUUCUGCAGAAUUCAUUUUGCAUUUUCUCCGGUGGAAACAGACACACGUGUUCUCUGCCCCCACCAGUUACUUGUCGCUGAUGAUCAAUCCACCAGACUCACCCUCUGAGGGACUUUAAUUCCUCUCACGGAACAGAGAGCGGUUACUGGUUGGGCUUUAGACUGGAGAAAGUAAACAGGGAUAUUCCACAGCUGGCGAUAUAAGAGACAUUGUAUUUUAUCUCUUCCCUGUGUAAUAUAUUGCUGUAUAGUUACAGCAUUUGCAGGCGGCACAAACUUAGAAAUAUUGUGAACUGUGAGAGAAACAGCGAGAGACUUCAAGAGGAUAGCAGUCUGUGGUGGAGGCAAUAGAAACGUGGUGAUUGUAAGUGAAUGCAGAGAGGUGUGAAGUGAUACAAUUUGAUGGAAAGAUCCGGAGAGGCGAUAUGGAAUAAAAGGUACAAAAGAGGGUGUGGGGGCCCUGGGGAUGUAUGUGCAGAAUCUGUUGAUGGUGGCAGGACAGAUUGAGAGAGUGUCUACAAAGGUUUCCAGGAACCUGCGUUUAACAAAUAGAGAGAGGGGACAAAACAGGGAGGUGAUGAUGUAGCUUCAUAAAACACUGGCUCGACCACAACUCGAGUGUCAGUUCUGGAGCCCGCACUGUAGGGAGGUUGUGGAGGCUUCAGGAAGUGACAGAAAAGAUUGACAGGAAUGUUCCAGAGGUGACAGCCUUCAGUUCUGUCGAGAGAUUGGAGAAGCUGGGGUUGUUCUCCCGAGAGGGGAGACAGGAGACAGGAAAUUAGAUUGAGCUGUUCAACA